GGUCAAGUGAAUAAGUGCAUCAGGCGGAUGCCUUGGCGAUGAUAGGCGACGAAGGACGUGUAAGCCUGCGAAAAGCGCGGGGGAGCUGGCAAUAAAGCUAUGAUUCCGCGAUGUCCGAAUGGGGAAACCCACUGCAUUCUGUGCAGUAUCCUAAGUUGAAUACAUAGGCUUAGAGAAGCGAACCCGGAGAACUGAACCAUCUAAGUACCCGGAGGAAAAGAAAUCAACCGAGAUUCCGCAAGUAGUGGCGAGCGAACGCGGAGGAGCCUGUACGUAAUAACUGUCGAGAUAGAAGAACAAGCUGGGAAGCUUGACCAUAGCGGGUGACAGUCCCGUAUUCGAAAUCUCAACAGCGGUACUAAGCGUACGAAAAGUAGGGCGGGACACGUGAAAUCCUGUCUGAAUAUGGGGGGACCAUCCUCCAAGGCUAAAUACUCAUCAUCGACCGAUAGUGAACCAGUACCGUGAGGGAAAGGCGAAAAGAACCCCGGGAGGGGAGUGAAACAGAACCUGAAACCUGAUGCAUACAAACAGUGGGAGCGCCCUAGUGGUGUGACUGCGUACCUUUUGUAUAAUGGGUCAACGACUUACAUUCAGUAGCGAGCUUAACCGGAUAGGGGAGGCGUAGGGAAACCGAGUCUUAAUAGGGCGAUGAGUUGCUGGGUGUAGACCCGAAACCGAGUGAUCUAUCCAUGGUCAGGUUGAAGGUGCCGUAACAGGUACUGGAGGACCGAACCCACGCAUGUUGCAAAAUGCGGGGAUGAGCUGUGGGUAGGGGUGAAAGGCUAAACAAACUCGGAGAUAGCUGGUUCUCCCCGAAAACUAUUUAGGUAGUGCCUCGAGCAAGACACUGAUGGGGGUAAAGCACUGUUAUGGCUAGGGGGUUAUUGCAACUUACCAACCCAUGGCAAACUCAGAAUACCAUCAAGUGGUUCCUCGGGAGACAGACAGCGGGUGCUAACGUCCGUUGUCAAGAGGGAAACAACCCAGACCGUCGGCUAAGGUCCCAAAUGAUAGAUUAAGUGGUAAACGAAGUGGGAAGGCACAGACAGCCAGGAUGUUGGCUUAGAAGCAGCCAUCAUUUAAAGAAAGCGUAAUAGCUCACUGGUCGAGUCGUCCUGCGCGGAAGAUGUAACGGGGCUCAAAUCUAUAACCGAAGCUGCGGAUGCCGGUUUACCGGCAUGGUAGGGGAGCGUUCUGUAGGCUGAUGAAGGUGCAUUGUAAAGUGUGCUGGAGGUAUCAGAAGUGCGAAUGUUGACAUGAGUAGCGAUAAAGCGGGUGAAAAGCCCGCUCGCCGAAAGCCCAAGGUUUCCUACGCAACGUUCAUCGGCGUAGGGUAAGUCGGCCCCUAAGGCGAGGCAGAAAUGCGUAGUCGAUGGGAAACAGGUUAAUAUUCCUGUACUUGAUUCAAAUGCGAUGUGGGGACGGAGAAGGUUAGGUUGGCAAGCUGUUGGAAUAGCUUGUUUAAGCCGGUAGGUGGAAGACUUAGGCAAAUCCGGGUUUUCUUAACACCGAGAAGUGAUGACGAGUGUCUACGGACACGAAGCAACCGAUACCACGCUUCCAGGAAAAGCCACUAAGCUUCAGUUUGAAUCGAACCGUACCGCAAACCGACACAGGUGGGCAGGAUGAGAAUUCUAAGGCGCUUGAGAGAACUCGGGAGAAGGAACUCGGCAAAUUGAUACCGUAACUUCGGGAGAAGGUAUGCCCUCUAAGGUUAAGGACUUGCUCCGUAAGCCCCGGAGGGUCGCAGAGAAUAGGUGGCUGCGACUGUUUAUUAAAAACACAGCACUCUGCCAACACGAAAGUGGACGUAUAGGGUGUGACGCCUGCCCGGUGCCGGAAGGUUAAUUGAAGAUGUGCAAGCAUCGGAUCGAAGCCCCGGUAAACGGCGGCCGUAACUAUAACGGUCCUAAGGUAGCGAAAUUCCUUGUCGGGUAAGUUCCGACCCGCACGAAUGGCGUAACGAUGGCCACACUGUCUCCUCCCGAGACUCAGCGAAGUUGAAGUGGUUGUGAAGAUGCAAUCUACCCGCUGCUAGACGGAAAGACCCCGUGAACCUUUACUGUAGCUUUGCAUUGGACUUUGAAGUCACUUGUGUAGGAUAGGUGGGAGGCUUGGAAGCAGAGACGCCAGUCUCUGUGGAGUCGUCCUUGAAAUACCACCCUGGUGUCUUUGAGGUUCUAACCCAGACCCGUCAUCCGGGUCGGGGACCGUGCAUGGUAGGCAGUUUGACUGGGGCGGUCUCCUCCCAAAGCGUAACGGAGGAGUUCGAAGGUUACCUAGGUCCGGUCGGAAAUCGGACUGAUAGUGCAAUGGCAAAAGGUAGCUUAACUGCGAGACCGACAAGUCGGGCAGGUGCGAAAGCAGGACAUAGUGAUCCGGUGGUUCUGUAUGGAAGGGCCAUCGCUCAACGGAUAAAAGGUACUCCGGGGAUAACAGGCUGAUUCCGCCCAAGAGUUCAUAUCGACGGCGGAGUUUGGCACCUCGAUGUCGGCUCAUCACAUCCUGGGGCUGUAGUCGGUCCCAAGGGUAUGGCUGUUCGCCAUUUAAAGUGGUACGUGAGCUGGGUUUAAAACGUCGUGAGACAGUUUGGUCCCUAUCUGCAGUGGGCGUUGGAAGUUUGACGGGGGCUGCUCCUAGUACGAGAGGACCGGAGUGGACGAACCUCUGGUGUACCGGUUGUAACGCCAGUUGCAUAGCCGGGUAGCUAAGUUCGGAAGAGAUAAGCGCUGAAAGCAUCUAAGCGCGAAACUCGCCUGAAGAUGAGACUUCCCUUGCGGUUUAACCGCACUAAAGGGUCGUUCGAGACCAGGACGUUGAUAGGUGGGGUGUGGAAGCGCGGUAACGCGUGAAGCUAACCCAUACUAAUUGCCCGUGAGGCUUGACUCU
rnacentral:rRNA from 1 species